AAGAUUAAGCCAUGCAUGUCUAAGUCCAAGCUGUGUUCACACGGCGAGACCGCGGACGGCUCAUUAAAUCAGUCGUGGUCCAAAUGGGCCAGUGCAAAUCCUACUUGGAUAACUGUGGUAAUUCCAGAGCUAAUACAUGCAACUGAUAUCCCGAAGGCGGUGUUUGGGCUUGCUUGCCUUGCGCUGCGCUGCUCUGACGGAUGCUUUUAUUAGACCAAGCCGCUGAGGACUUGAGGGUUCGCGCUCUCUUGUCUGACUCGUGUGAUGGUGACUCUGGAUAACCAAAUUCUGACAAGCGCACGUACUUCUCUUCUGAGCGAGACGGCGCUGCCACUUUCGAGUGUCUGCCUUAUCAGCUAUCAACCGUUCGUUAUGCGCGACCGAUGGCUUUGACGGGUAACGGGGAAUCAGGGUUCGAUUCCGGAGAGGCAGCCUGAGAGACGGCUACCACGUCCAAGGACGGCAGCAGGCACGCAAAUUACCCAAUCCCAGCAAAUGGGGGAGGUAGUGACGAAAUCUAACGAUGCGGGCGCCCUUUCUGGGGCCCCGCAAUCGGAAUGGGCACUUUCUAAACAACCUGUUGAGAACCUACUGAAGGGCAAG
rnacentral:rRNA from 1 species